AUUACGGGUACGGGGAUUAGGGUUCGAUUCCGGAGAGGGAGCCUGAGAAACGGCUACCACAUCCAAGGAAGGCAGCAGGCGCGCAAAUUACCCAAUCCCAACACGGGGAGGUAGUGACAAUAAAUAACAAUAUGGGGCCUUUACGGGUCUCGUAAUUGGAAUGAGUACAAUUUAAAUCUCUUAACGAGGAACAAUUGGAGGGCAAGUCUGGUGCCAGCAGCCGCGGUAAUUCCAGCUCCAAUAGCGUAUAUUAAAGUUGUUGCAGUUAAAAAGCUCGUAGUUGAAUUUCGGGAUCUAUCCGUCGGUCGGGCCUCACGGUCCGCACUGGUGUGAUGGAUUCCUACCUUCUGAAUAACCGGUAUGCCAUUAAUUUGAUGUGCCGGGGAAGCAGAACCAUUACCUUGAAAAAAUUAGAGUGCUCAAAGCAGGCCUAUGCCUGAAUACAUUAGCAUGGAAUAAUAAAAUAGGACGGCAUGGUUCUAUUUUGUUGGUUUCUAGGAUCACCGUAAUGAUUAAUAGGGAUAGUUGGGGGCAUUAGUAUUCAAUUGUCAGAGGUGAAAUUCUUGGAUUUAUUGAAGACUAACUUCUGCGAAAGCAUUUGCCAAGGAUGUUUUCAUUAAUCAAGAACGAAAGUUAGGGGAUCGAAGACGAUCAGAUACCGUCGUAGUCUUAACCAUAAACUAUGCCGACUAGGGAUCGGACGAUGUUAAUUUUAUAAUGACUCGUUCGGCGCCUUACGGGAAACCAAA
rnacentral:rRNA from 1 species